UACGGGGGAGCAAGCGUUGUUCGGAUUUACUGGGCGUAAAGGGCGCGUAGGCGGCCACCGCAAGUCGACUGUGAAAUCUCCGGGCUUAACCCGGAAAGGUCAGCCGAUACUGCGGGGCUAGAGUUCGGCAGGGGAGACUGGAAUUCCUGGUGUAGCGGUGAAAUGCGCAGAUAUCAGGAGGAACACCGGUGGCGAAGGCGGGGUCUCUGGGCCGUAACUGACGCUGAGGAGCGAAAGCGUGGGGAGCGAACAGG
rnacentral:rRNA from 1 species